GAUGAACGCUGACAGAAUGCUUAACACAUGCAAGUCUUUGGCGAAGCUGUGCUUGCACAGCCUAGCCAAGGCGGACGGGUGAGUAACGCGUAAGGAACUUGCCCUGCAGUCAGGGAUAACAGACGGAAACGACUGAUAAGACCUGGUAAAGUCAGGCGGACUCAUGUCCAGCCUGAUGAAAAGAGAUGCUGCAGGAGAGCCUUGCGUCCUAUUAGCUUGUUGGUGGGGUAACGGCCCACCAAGGCGAUGAUAGGUAGCCGGCCUGAGAGGGUGGACGGCCACAAGGGGACUGAGAUACGGCCCUUACUCAUACGGGAGGCAGCAGUGGGGAAUAUUGGACAAUGGGGGCAACACUGAUCCAGCAAUUCUGUGUGCACGAUGAAGGUUUUCGGAUUGUAAAGUGCUUUCAGCAGGGAAGAAAAAAAUGACGGUACCUGCAGAAGAAGCGACGGCUAAAUACGUG
rnacentral:rRNA from 1 species